rnacentral:rRNA from 1 species
CAGUCGAACGAGAGAGAGGAAGCUUGCUUCCUCAAUCGAGUGGCGAACGGGUGCGUAUCGCGUGAGGAACCUGCCUCAAAGAGGGGGACAACAGUUGGAAACGACUGCUAAUACCGCAUAAGCCCACAGCUCGGCAUCGAGCAGAGGGAAAAGGAGCAAUCCGCUUUGAGAUGGCCUCGCGUCCGAUUAGCUAGUUGGUGAGGUAACGGCCCACCAAGGCGACGAUCGGUAGCCGGACUGAGAGGGUGACCGGCCACAUUGGGACUGAGACACGGCCCAAACUCCUACGGGAGGCAGCAGUGGGGAAUAUUGCACAAUGGGGGAAACCCUGAUGCAGCGACGCCGCGUGAGCGAAGAAGUAUUUCGGUAUGUAAAGCUCUAUCAGCAGGGAAGAAAAUGACGGUACCUGACUAAGAAGCACCGGCUAAAUACGUGCCAGCAGCCGCGGUAAUACGUAUGGUGCAAGCGUUAUCCGGAUUUACUGGGUGUAAAGGGAGCGUAGACGGCUGUGUAAGUCUGAAGUGAAAGCCCGGGGCUCAACCCCGGGACUGCUUUGGAAACUAUGCAGCUAGAGUGUCGGAGAGGUAAGUGGAAUUCCCAGUGUAGCGGUGAAAUGCGUAGAUAUUGGGAGGAACACCAGUGGCGAAGGCGGCUUACUGGACGAUGACUGACGUUGAGGCUCGAAAGCGUGGGGAGCAAACAGGAUUAGAUACCCUGGUAG